GAAACACCAACGAUACAAGCUGUAACCAGGACUCCCACAAGAAACAAACGGGCAUCUACUAGUGCUGCUGCUACUGCUGUUGCAGCUACUGUUGAUGCCACAGUACCAUUGGCCAUCAGUAUCCUGACUGAGUCCAGCCACAGCUUCUCCUCAGCAGCGGCAAUGCCUGACAUAAUGUGCAGCACCCCUGAAGCAGCAGGUCUUGGCCAAACAACAGCUGAGGUACAAAGGGCUUUGGAACAACCUCCAACCUCUUCGAUCUCCUCCACAGAUAACAAACGGCACAGGAAGUGUCUGAGGAGAUCACCGUGUGUCUUUGUGAGAUGAGAGCAAUUCUGUAUGAGGAAGAGGAGGAGUUCCUGGGAGAGAACCUAUCUCAGGAAUCCCAGGAGCAGGAAAUCUCCUAGUCAACAUUGGCUCGAUAUGCUCUCGUCCAUGCUGCCCCUCCUGCCCCUCCUGCCCCAGAAACCCCCUUGUGCCCCUCUUGCCCCUGCUGCUUGUGCUCGAGCAGCUCCUAGCCAUGCUGAUCCUAGUUAAGAACAGCUUUAUCUAAAUGAAGAUUAAGCUGUUUUUGAAAUGUUAAAUCUGGCCAGGCAGUACAGGGUUGAUCACUGGGAGUUGCACGAGGCAUUGAGAUUAUCUGUCGAGCAACAGGGGCGGAUCAUAGAGAGGGGCAGUCAAUUAAAUAGGGAAAGAUUAGAGUUAGAGAGGGAAAGACUUUUAAUAGAAAGUGGAAGAUUAGAUUAAUGGGUCAAUCUACA